rnacentral:rRNA from 1 species
UGGGGAAUAUUGCACAAUGGGGGAAACCCUGAUGCAGCCAUGCCGCGUGUGUGAAGAAGGCCUUCGGGUUGUAAAGCACUUUCAGUAGGGAGGAAAGGGUGAGUCUUAAUACGGCUCAUCUGUGACGUUACCUACAGAAGAAGGACCGGCUAACUCCGUGCCAGCAGCCGCGGUAAUACGGAGGGUCCGAGCGUUAAUCGGAAUUACUGGGCGUAAAGCGUGCGCAGGCGGUUUGUUAAGCGAGAUGUGAAAGCCCUGGGCUCAACCUAGGAAUAGCAUUUCGAACUGGCGAACUAGAGUCUUGUAGAGGGGGGUAGAAUUCCAGGUGUAGCGGUGAAAUGCGUUAGAGAUCUGGAGGAAUACCGGUGGCGAAGGCGGCCCCCUGGACAAAGACUGACGCUCAUGCACGAAAGCGUGGGGGAGCAAACA